GUUAGAGAGAAGAGAGAUGGUAUGAAUGUGUGUUAGAGAGAAGAGAGAUGGUAUGAAUGUGUGUUAGAGAGAAGAGAGAUGGUAUGAAUGUGUCAGAGAGAUGAGAGAUGGUAUGAAUGUGUGUUAGAGAGAUGGUAUGAAUGUGUCAGAGAGAAGAGAGAUGGUAUGAAUGUGUCAGAGAGAAGAGAGAUGGUAUGGAUGUGUCAGAGAGAAGAGAGAUGGUAUGAAUGUGUGUUAGAGAGAUGGUAUGAAUGUGUGUCAGAGAGAAGAGAGAUGGUAUGAAGGUGUGUUAGAGAGAAGAGAGAUGGUAUGAAGGUGUGUUAGAGAGAAGAGAGAUGGUAUGAAUGUGUGUUAGAGAGAAGAGAGAUGGUAUGAAUGUGUGUUAGAGAGAAGAGAGAUGGUAUGAAUGUGUGUUAGAGAGAAGAGAGAUGGUAUGAAUGUGUCAGAGAGAAGAGAGAUGGUAUGGAUGUGUCAGAGAGAAGAGAGAUGGUAUGAAUGUGU
ensembl:lncRNA